CAAGUCUUGACAUCGGAAUGACCGUCCCGUAACGGGGGCUUCCCUUCGGGGCAUUCCAGACAGGUGGUGCAUGGUUGUCGUCAGCUCGUGUCGUGAGAUGUUGGGUUAAGUCCCGCAACGAGCGCAACCCUUAUCCUUAGUAGCCAGCAGUUCGGCUGGGCACUCUGGGGAGACUGCCAGGGAUAACCUGGAGGAAGGUGGGGAUGACGUCAAAUCAUCAUGCCCCUUAUGAUUUGGGCUACACACGUGCUACAAUGGCGUAAACAAAGGGAAGCGAAGGAGUGAUCUGGAGCAAAUCUCAAAAAUAACGUCUCAGUUCGGAUUGUAGUCUGCAAC
rnacentral:rRNA from 1 species